GAUGAACGCUGGCGGCGUGCCUAACACAUGCAAGUCGAGCGGAGAUGAUGAAGUUUCGAUGGAUUCAGCUUAGUGGCGGACGGGUGAGUAACACGUAGGUAACCAACCCUCAAGCGGGGGACAACAUCGGGAAACCGGUGCUAAUACCGCAUAAGCUCACGGACGGUGAUGUUGGUGAGAAAAGGAGCAAUUCACUUGAGGAUGGGCCUGCGGCCUAUCAGGUAGUUGGUAAGGGAACGGCUUACCAAGCCUAAGACGGGUAGCCGGACUGAGAGGUUGAACGGCCACACUGGAACUGAGACACGGUCCAGACUCCUACGGGAGGCAGCAGUGGGGAAUUUUGCGCAAUGGGGGAAACCCUGACGCAGCGACGCCGCGUGGAGGAUGAAGGUCUUCGGAUUGUAAACUCCUUUUGUAGGGGAAGAUAAUGACGGUACCCGAUGAAUAAGCCACGGCUAACUCUGUGCCAGCAGCCGCCGUAACAC
rnacentral:rRNA from 1 species